GACGAACGCUGGCGGCGUGCUUAACACAUGCAAGUCGAGUGGUAAGGCCCUUUCGGGGGUACACGAGCGGCGAACGGGUGAGUAACACGUGGGUGACCUGCCCUCAGCUCUGGGAUAAGCCUGGGAAACUGGGUCUAAUACCGGAUAUGACUCCAUGACGCAUGUUGUGGGGUGGAAAGCCUUGUGCGGCUGAGGAUGGGCCCGCGGCCUAUCAGCUUGUUGGUGGGGGAUGGCCUACCAAGGCGACGACGGGUAGCCGGCCUGAGAGGGCGACCGGCCACACUGGGACUGAGACACGGCCCAGACUCCUACGGGAGGCAGCAGUGGGGAAUCUUGCGCAAUGGGCGAAAGCCUGACGCAGCGACGCCGCGUGAGGGAUGACGGCCUGGU
rnacentral:rRNA from 1 species